UACGUAGGUGUCGAGCGUUGUCCGGAUUUAUUGGGCGUAAAGAGCCCGCAGGCGGCUUGGCAAGUUUGAGGUGAAAUCUCCCGGCUUAACUGGGAGGGGGCCUCGAAAACUGCCAGGCUUGAGGCAUGGAGAGGGAUGCGGAAUUCCCGGUGUAGUGGUGAAAUGCGUAGAUAUCGGGAGGAACACCUAUGGCGAAAGCAGGUUUCUGGACCAUCACUGACGCUGAGCUGCGAAAGCUAGGGGAGCAAACAGG
rnacentral:rRNA from 1 species